rnacentral:rRNA from 1 species
AUUGAACGCUGGCGGCAGGCCUAACACAUGCAAGUCGAGCGAGCGGCGGACGGGUGAGUAAUGUCUGGGAAACUGCCUGAUGGAGGGGGAUAACUACUGGAAACGGUAGCUAAUACCGCAUACCAUCAGAUGUGCCCAGAUGGGAGUAGCUAGUAGGUGGGGUAACGGCUCACCUAGGCGACGAUCCCUAGCUGGUCUGAGAGGAAGACCAGCCACACUGGCACUGAGCCACGGACCAGCCUCCUCCUAGAGACCGCAGUGAGGAAUAUUGCACAAUAGGCGCAAGCCUGAUGCAGCCAUGCCGCGGAUGUGACGAAGGCCUUCGGGUUGUAAAGCACUUUCAGCGGGGCGACGUUGCCCGCAGAGAAAGCACCGGCUACCUCCGUGCCAGCCGCCGCGGUAAUUC